AGCUCCAAUAGCGUAUAUUAAAGUUGCUGCAGUUAAAAAGCUCGUAGUUGCAUUUCCGAGGCAAGGGAUUAGUCCGACCUUUGGUGGGUAUUUAAUCCUCUUGCCUCGUCCUUGAGUGGUGCUUCUUGGUAUUAAGUUAUCGAGGAGAUAGCCGCUCAUCGUUUACUGUGAGAAAAUUAGAGUGUUCAAAGCAGGCUUAUGCCGUUGAAUAUAUUAGAAUAAUAAGAUAGGACCUCGGUACUAUUUUGUUGGUUUGAGAACCAAGGUAAUGAUGAAUAGGGACAGUUGGGGGUAUUCGUAUUCAGUUGUCAGAGGUGAAAUUCUUAGAUUUACGGAAGACGAACUACUGCGAAAGCAUUUACCAAGGAUGUUUUCA
rnacentral:rRNA from 1 species